AAGAAAAUACGGCCGAACUCCGGCGCACGGCGUCGGGGGCGGGGGAACCAAACCAGUGGGGUGAAUCUCCGAGUAAUUCGGAGUAGGCAAGCUCCCUCUGCCGAACCCGUCAGCUAACCCCGUAGGCACUCAGGGAGAGGAUAG
rnacentral:sRNA from 2 species